GACGUAGGGCGCGAGCGUUGUCCGGAUUUUAUUGGGCGUAAAGGGCUCGUAGGCGGUUUGUCGCGUCGGGAGUGAAAACCAUGGGCUUAACUCAUGGCUUGCUUCCGAUACGGGCAGACUAGAGGCAUGCAGGGGAGAACGGAAUUCCUGGUGUAGUGGUGAAAUGCGUAGAGAUCCGGAGGAACCCCAGAGGCGAAGGCGGCGCCCUGGCUCGCAACUGACGCUCAGACACGACAGCAUGGGGAGCGGAACGGG
rnacentral:rRNA from 1 species